rnacentral:rRNA from 1 species
CCUACGGGUGACUGCAGUGGGGAAUACUGGGCAAUGGGCGCAAGCCUGCCCCAGCAACGCCGCGUGAAGGAAGACGGCUUUCGGGUUGUACACUUCUUUUAAGCGGGAAGAGCAGAAGACGGUACCUCUUGAAUAAGCCACGGCUAACUACGUGCCAGCAGCCGCGGUAAUACGUAGGUGGCAAGCGUUGUCCGGAUUUACUGGGUGUAAAGGGCGUGCAGCCGGGAAGACAAGUCAGAUGUGAAAUCCCGCGGCUCAACCGCGGAACUGCAUUUGAAACGGGUUUUCUUGAGUACCGGAGAGGACAUCGGAAUUCCGUGUGUAGCGGUGAAAUGCGUAGAGAUAAGGAAGAACACCAGUGGCGAAGGCGGAUGACUGGACGGCAACUGACGGGGAGGCGCGAAAGCGUGGGGAGCAAACAGGAUUAGAUACCCGUGUAGUC